GGAAAUUGUGGUUGCAACUAUUUGGAGAUACAUAAUUACAUUCCAAAUCAAAUUAUUGAGAUGUAGCAUGAAAAGCAAAAGAUUACCAGCGACGGCAUUGUAUGGCCUACCAAGCCUUGUUCAUAACAGUCUGUCAUAGUUUGGAGAAGACAGGUUUCCUCUUCUGGAUUUGCGCCGAUACGGCCUCCUCCAGAUCAUGAGAUAUCAGCAUUG
rnacentral:misc_RNA from 1 species